AUGACAGACGAAGAAGUAAUGGAGCCUGAUACCGUGUUCAACCAACGUUUCGCAACAAAACGCUUGCUCGAAGUUGCGAAGACAAAACUUAAUCCUAGCAAGAGGCACUGCAUAAAUGAAACUGGCUUCGGUGAUCUCAUGAGCAUCUCACCUUUUAUAGCGCCACAUGAUUUGAUGGAGUGGUUAACAAUAAACAUUGACACUAACAGUCGUGAGCUCAGGCUGAGUCAGAACAAGGUCAUUGUGUUUACUCGAGACAUGGUGAAGAAGGUUUUCAAUAUCCCAUCAGGCAACAGACCAGUUGAGCUUUUCAAGAGACAUGAGCAUUGUGAGCUCCACAACAUUUAUCACAAGAAUGGCAGGGCUCCAAUUAUGCAUACAGUGGAUGUGCUUCAUCGAGCUAGGAAUGAUGAUGGCGAUACUACGAAGAGGUCAUGGGUGCUCUUAGCUCUUGCAACAGUUUUAACUCCAAGCACUGGCAACAUGGUGCCGCUAGAGUACUUGAAAAGCCUUGAAGAAAUGGACAAGGUUACUGAAUUCGCUUGGGAUGAGCAUGUUUUAAGUGUUGCAAUGAGAGAGGUUAAGAAGUGCCAGGACAAGAUAAAAUCACAGGCUACUUCAUUCUGGGUUGGGGGCUGCUUCCCUAUGCUCGCGGUUAUUUACAUGGACCAUUUGAUAUUUCCUCAAGCUGCCAUCAACGAGCACCAAUUGAAUUAUUCUCUUCCAAGGGCUUGCUUCGUGCAUCAGACUGACUUUGAUCUUGUGUUGGACUUUGACAAGGAUAAGCUUUCUUUGGGAAAAGCCUCUUUUGGGAAGUGUCGUUUUCGCCCUCUGUCAGAGACACCAUACGCACCAUUGCCUGCCCAAGGCCCGGUAGGCAACAUCAGUGAAGUUGCUCAAGAUCAGCAGGUUUCGGACAACCCGGAUUGUGAUGACACUCAAUAUUGUGGAGCUGGAAAUAUCAACUUUAAUGAUAACCAAGAUGACGUGGCUGCGAAAGAGAACCCUAUGGAAGGUAGCAACCCAACGGAUAAUGGUAAAAGCACCAAUGAAGAUGUGUGUGGUUCGCUGGAUGAUUGCCUUCAAAACCCGGCACCAUUUGGGGCAGAGCUUGAGCUCCCAUCACACAUCUACGACAAUCACACAAAACUAUAUGAUGCAAAGUUAAAAGGGGCUCUAAGUUCGUACGGGCAAGUGUUGCAAGCAAUACAUUGCAAGCCAAUGGAGCAGCUUCUCAAAGAUGUUCAUGUUGCUUCGUCAAGUUCUCAGGAAGCAGCGGAUGUUACCUUUGAUGUGCCGCCUCCUCGCAGCAAUGUUGUAGACAAGUCAGAUGGUCAUGGUUGUAGCAAGGAAAGUUCUAGGGAGAAGUUCGUAGAUGAGCCAACAACUGACAAGGUGUUUGAGCCAGCUGAAGGAGCUCGAAGCAACUGUGCAAGUAGCAUUGCUCAUGAGCCUAAUGGAGGCGACGUGGUUGAGCUGGGCACAGGAAGUAGUGUUGUUGUCAGUGAGAACCUUGGACGAUGUUUUGAGACUGCAAAUGAUAAAGUGUCUAGUGGUGAAGAUAUUGAGCAUGGUCACCAACUCAGCCAUCGCAAUCACUCUGUGCCGACUAGUGUGGUUGGACAUUGGAGUGAUGUGCCAUCAAUGAGUCUGUUCCAAGAGGGCACUGAGGCAUAUGAUUGGUGGAUCAGUGUCCCAAAUGUAGAUGCGAACUCCAAUGCUCCAACCCAUGGCAACACUGUUACAACACCAAAGUCUUGUGAUGUUUUUUAUGUCACUCCUCAGGCUCCAAUCUCAACAGAAGCAGAAGUUCUAGUGUAUGAUGUCACACCAAUCUCUGUGGCUCCAUUAUCAAGCGGGACUGCAGAUGGACCAUCAAAACCACAAGAAGAGCUAGUUGUUCUAGUUAGCAGCAGGGAACCAAGUCCCGUCCUCAACGAGGAGAAGUUGAAGAGAAAGGACGAGAAGAAGCUCAAGAGCAAGAAAAGAGUAGGGAGUCCAAUGUCGGCCAGAUCAAAGCACAAGAAAAUCAAGACAGGUUCGAAGAUGGAAGCAAUGUACCAGUACUAUGUCAUGAAGAGGUACAAGAUGAAGAAGAUGAAGAGAGGGGAAAUUGAGCCUCCUUUCAUUAGGAUUGGUGAUUUCCACAUUACCUACACCAACUUUCAGAAGUCGUUGAAGCCACGCGCUCAGAUAUGCAACGAAGUCAUGUCUUUGUUCAUCGAAACCUUCAACAUUGAACAAUUGUCAUCUUCAAAUAAGCAGAAGAAAUUUGCUUUCUCUGUUUUAAUGAGCCUUCAACUCUCUGUCCACCCAGAAGUUUUUGACCUGAGUGUUUGUGCAAGAGAGCUGAGGAGGGCGUGCCAAAAUUUCCAGAUUUCAGUUUUCGACCUACUUUUCUUCACCAUCGUCCAUGAUGGCCACUGGAUUGUUUGCGUCGUUAACCUCUUGCACAAGGAGUUCAACAUGUUUGACUCAUUGGAUAACGGAAAAUUGGAUGUUGUUGCAAGGAAUCUACUUACCAAUUUCAAGAGGAUUGCUAUAGAAGAGCCAGAUUUCAAAGUGGAUUUAUCUUCUUUCAAACCAGACUGGCCCCUACUUGACUACCCACAACAGACAACUCACUUUGAUUGUGGAUUGUUUUCAACACUGUACUUGGAAAAUUUCGACGGCAAGAGGAUGAAAGAUUUUAAGAAGCAAACUAUGCUUGAUGUGCGGAAGACCAUUGCUUCGAAGCUGUUUUUCCAUCCGCUGAACAAGGUCUGCCCCGCUGAUGUGCAUAGGGCGGUCAUAGUGGCUUGA
rnacentral:rRNA from 1 species